rnacentral:tRNA from 1 species
GCGGGCGUAGUUUAAUGGCAGAACAUGAGCUUCCCAAGCUUAUAGCGCGGGUUCGAUUCCCGUCGCCCGCUCCA